GUCGAACGAGAAGCUUGCGCUGGCAUUUCGGUGUGAAGCGUGGGUGGGGAGUGGCGAACGGGUGAGUAACACGUAGGUGACCUGCCCUGGAGAGGGGGACAACCAUUCGAAAGGAUGGCUAAUACCGCAUAGACCUGUUUAGAAGGGAUUGUAAGCGGGGAAAGCUCCGGCGCUCUGGGAGGGGCCUGCGUCCGAUUAGCUAGUUGGUGGGGUAAGAGCCCACCAAGGCGACGAUCGGUAGCUGGUCUGAGAGGACGAUCAGCCACACGGGAACUGAGACACGGUCCCGACUCCUACGGGGGGCAGCAGUGAGGAAUAUUGCACAAUGGGGGCAACCCUGAUGCAGCAACGCCGCGUGGAGGAUGAAGGCCUUUGGGUCGUAAACUCCUUUUCUGGGGGAAGAGGAAGGACGGUACCCCAGGAAUAAGUCACGGCUAACUACGUGCCAGCAGCCGCGGUAACACGUAGGUGGCAAGCGUUAUCCGGAAUUACUGGGCGUAAAGCGCACGCAGGCGGCUGCGCCAAGUCUGACGUGAAAGCUCCUGGCUUAACUGGGAGAGGUCGUUGGAACUGGCGGCCCUUUGUGGCAUGGAGGGGGGGGUGGAAUUCCCGGUGUAGUGGUGGAAUGCGUAGAUAUCGGGAGGAACACCAGUGGCGAAAGCGGCACCCUGGCAUUGUCCUGACGCUCAUGUGCGAAGCGUGGGUAGCGAACGGGAUUAGAUACCCCGGUAGUCCACGCCGUAACGAUGAACACUAGGUGUAGGUGGUAUCAAACCCAUUUGUGCGAGCAACGCGAUAAGUGUCGCUGG
rnacentral:rRNA from 1 species